UAGUAGAGAAAGUGAAUGAACAGUGAUUUGUUUGUCUGGCUUCUUCUCAUUUACCUAUUUGGGCGGUCAUCCCCAUUCAGAUGCGUGUCUUUCACCUUUACAUCUUCAUUCUAAUCAGCUUCAAAAAGAGAGAACAAGGGCUGGCAGAAGCGGGACCGCCCCUGGUGGCGGAGUCGUGGCGGAGCCACGACGGUGGCCGGUUUCUUUAAAUGGUUAGGGUUUCAAACAUGAGACGUCGGAGAACAAGGCCUUCUGGUUUUGGGGGGUUUUCACUAUGGCCACUUAAUAAUGGUUAGGGUUUCAAACAUGAGACGUCGGUUGUUGAAGGCGUCCGUUCAUGAGCUCCUGUGGUGGCGGCAAUUGUUGAUUGUGCCUAUCUUUCGGUUUCCUUUGUUAGGGGUCGAUGAUAGCUAGGGUUUCCUAUGCUGAGACUCUAACCGACUUUGAUAGGUGGUGGUUACUUUUAUCUACGAUUUAUCGGUCACGAUGUGUUUCUUCAUCUGAGAUGUUCUUGAUUUGAAUAAUGAAACCCUAAGUCGCUUAUGUAUUAUUUUUGCUGGUUAGGGUUUCUGCAGAUCAUGUAGAUUGUAUACAUAUAAAUCUGUGAUUUAUAGAGCUCCUUUGAUGAUGGAGCUACAUGCAUUUGGUCUAUGAUUCUGUUUUUGGCGUUUGGGUUACUGAGUUAGGCGAUGAUGAUUGUGUGGGUGUAAACCGAGUUGGGGAUUUCACCGUGGCGUGGCAUGUUUGAGAGAUGGUAGAUGUUCACCUGCAACCUCCAAUGCAGCCACGGUUAUCUCCUUCAUUUACACCAUCUGAGCCGUAAUGCUCUUUUUAUAUUGGAACUGGUUGCGUUAUAUAUAUGUAUUAAUAGUCACGCAUUUAUCUACUGCUAAUUGGAUGCUUUUCUCUAAUUCUAAGGAUGGGUCAUUAGCUCAGAUUUAGGAAAAUUUUCUACCCUGCAAGACACCGCAUCAGCGGUUAUAAAUGCACGAUUAUACUUGUGGACCUGUUCGGGUUGGAACACAUUUUGGCCAGAGAUUGUUACAGGCAUGCUAAAGGGUGAGCGCAACAAACUUGGCAACCGUGUUGAAAAAGAAGCAGUUGAAGAUGGUUUCUUAGAUUACUAUAGCGGCUAACAAGUGUUUGGUUUUCAAAUCUGAGUCACCUUUAUGAAAUCCAUAAUUAUGAGGUAUACGAAAACGAAAUCUCCUGCCACUCAAGGAUCAAUGGUAUGGCAUUUGUAGCACCCACCUUCAUACGGAAUUAAGUUUGUUAGAUCUUAGUUGCGAAGGUUUUCUAAUUUUUAUGUAUGUUUCCUAUGUAUGCGUUAGGUCAUAUAUAAUACAUUUUGAUUCUGAUUUGACGGUGUUAAUUUGACUUAGUUUGUGUUUUGACCCGCCGCAACACAUGGCGGGUAGGUUUUACAUCUCAGCGUAAAUUAUUUUGUUCGUCAAAUGUACAUAUUGAGUUAGUCUACGUUUUGAUGUAGAUUGUAUUCAGUGAAACACGUCUGUAAAAACGAAUCGGGUACGCCGCCGCAACGCGCAGCUGCUAAAAAUACUAGUUUGAAUAAAACAGAAACAAGGACCUUCAAAAUUCUCAUGUACAUUCACCAUUAAUGAACUUGUCAAGUUCGGUGUACAUAGAUCUAGAUUGAUCACUCGGAAAGAAGCAUUGAAAGCGGCAACAACUCUUCACAACUUUUUGUUGCAAUACGGGAAUACAUUGCCUCAACUCUUAAAUACAAUGGGGAGAUUUAGAUGAACUCAAUAUAGAUUUGAAGUUCAAAAAAAAAAAAACAAGUGAAUAUAUAUUCAUUUUUUACUAUACAGUCCUAGAAUUUUGGAAUAUUUUAGUAAUUACUAGUUUUGCUGGGACCAAUAUAUUUACAUUGCGAUUUCAAAAAAAUUAUUAUCUUAUUAUUUUAUCGAUUGGGGUUCAAGUUUGUACUGAUCCCAAGUUGGGACCAAACAAAUUAUUAAUUUUAUCGAUGUUAUU
rnacentral:lncRNA from 1 species